GAGUGAACGCUGGCGGUAGGCCUAACACAUGCAAGACGAACGGCAGCACAGUAAGAGCUUGCUCUUACGGGUGGCGAGUGGCGGACGGGUGAGGAAUACAUCGGAAUCUACUUUUUCGUGGGGGAUAACGUAGGGAAACUUACGCUAAUACCGCAUACGACCUACGGGUGAAAGCAGGGAUCUUCGGACCUUGCGCGAAUGAAUGAGCCGAUGUCGGAUUAGCUAGUUGGCGGGGUAAAGGCCCACCAAGGCGACGAUCCGUAGCUGGUCUGAGAGGAUGAUCAGCCACACUGGAACUGAGACACGGUCCAGACUCCUACGGGAGGCAGCAGUGGGGAAUAUUGGACAAUGGGCGCAAGCCUGAUCCAGCCAUACCGCGUGGGUGAAGAAGGCCUUCGGGUUGUAAAGCCCUUUUGUUGGGAAAGAAAAGCAGCAGGUUAAUACCCCGCUGUUCUGACGGUACCCAAAGAAUAAGCACCGGCUAACUUCGUG
rnacentral:rRNA from 1 species